rnacentral:rRNA from 1 species
GGCCUUUAGCCCACCAAGUAUUAAAGGUCCAGCCUGCCCAGUGAACCUCUUCAACGGCCGCGGUAUCAUAACCGUGCAAAGGUAGCGUAAUCACUUGUCCCCUAAAUAGGGACCCGUAUGAAUGACUAAAUGAGGACACCCCUGUCUCCUAAGGCCCAUCAAUAAAACUGAUCUAUCAGUACAAAAGCUGAUAUACUAACAUAAGACGAGAAGACCCUGUGGAGCUUUAAACGUCCUACUAAUUAACCGCCUACCGAAGUCGCCAUGACAUCAACAACUGCAGAAAAUAGAAGUCCGUUUUAAGUUGGGGCGACUACGGAAUAAAACAGACCUUCCAUGUAAUAAGACUUACCCUCAAACAAGGCCGACGGGCCAUCGCUUGACCCAGUAAAACUGAUCAACGAACCAAGUUACCCCAGGGAUAACAGCGCUAUCCCUUUCAAGAGUCCUUAUCGCCAAAGGGGCUUACGACCUCGAUGUUGGAUCAGGACACCCCGGUGGUGCAGCCACUACCAAAGGUUCGUUUGUUCAACGAUUAAAGUCCU